UACGGAGGGUGCGAGCGUUGUCCGGAAUCACUGGGCGUAAAGGGCGCGUAGGCGGCGCGGGAAGUCCGUGGUGAAAGCCCGAGGCUCAACUUCGGGUCGGCCAUGGAUACUCCUGGGCUCGAGCACUGUAGAGGCAGGUGGAAUUCCGGGUGUAGCGGUGGAAUGCGUAGAGAUCCGGAAGAACACCGGUGGCGAAGGCGGUCUGCUGGGCAGUUUCUGACACUGAGGCGCGACAGCGUGGGGAGCAAACAGG
rnacentral:rRNA from 1 species